UACGAAGGGGGCUAGCGUUGCUCGGAAUCACUGGGCGUAAAGGGUGCGUAGGCGGGUCUUUAAGUCAGGGGUGAAAUCCUGGAGCUCAACUCCAGAACUGCCUUUGAUACUGGCGAGCUCGAGUCCGGGAGAGGUGAGUGGAACUGCGAGUGUAGAGGUGAAAUUCGUAGAUAUUCGCAAGAACACCAGUGGCGAAGGCGGCUCACUGGCCCGGUACUGACGCUGAGGUGCGAAAGCGUGGGGAGCAAACAGG
rnacentral:rRNA from 1 species